AUUGAACGCUGGCGGCAGGCCUAACACAUGCAAGUCGAACGGUAACAGGAAGAAGCUUGCUUCUUUGCUGACGAGUGGCGGACGGGUGAGUAAUGUCUGGGAAACUGCCUGAUGGAGGGGGAUAACUACUGGAAACGGUAGCUAAUACCGCAUAACGUCGCAAGACCAAAGAGGGGGACCUUCGGGCCUCUUGCCAUCGGAUGUGCCCAGAUGGGAUUAGCUAGUAGGUGGGGUAACGGCUCACCUAGGCGACGAUCCCUAGCUGGUCUGAGUGGAUGACCAGCCACACUGGAACUGAGACACGGUCCAGACUCCUACGGGAGGCAGCAGUGGGGAAUAUUGCACAAUGGGCGCAAGCCUGAUGCAGCCAUGCCGCGUGUAUGAAGAAGGCCUUCGGGUUGUAAAGUACUUUCAGCGGGGAGGAAGGGAGUAAAGUCAAUACCUUUGCUCAUUGACGUUACCCGCAGAAGAAGCACCGGCUAACUCCGUGCCAGCAGCCGCAGUAA
rnacentral:rRNA from 1 species